rnacentral:lncRNA from 1 species
GGAUACAGUAUUUAUAUUUCUCUGUCUGGCUUAUUUUACUCAGUUUCUUGAAUCUGUAGGUUUGUAUGUCUUGCCAAAUUUGGUUUUGUGGUUUCUGGCCACCUUCUUUUUCAAACCUAUCCUCUUUCUUUUCUCUUUCCAGGAUUCUGAUGACAUGGAUAUUAGAUUUUUUUGUUACAGCCUCACUGGUUCCUAAGGAUUUGCUCAUUUUUCCUCUUCUAUUGUCUUUCUUGUUCUAAUUCAUUGACUCUUUCCUCUGUCUCCUCCAUUAUGUCGUGAACCCAUCCACCGAGCUUUAUAUUUUGGUCAUUAUAUUUUCUGGUUUUAAAAUGUCCACUUUCUAUUUCUUUCUAUUUCUGUUAUUUCUAUUUUUUUUUUCCUAUUUCUUUCCUAAGACUUUCCAGUCUUUCAUUUGUUUUAUUUUGUUCAUAAUUUUUCAUUGACAUUUUCUUGUCAUGAGUGCCUUAAGUUACUUGCCAGGCAAUGUUGAAAAUUCUGACUCCUGCUGGACCUCCUCUGACACCACCCCAGCUGGGACGAGGAUAGAGGCCUCAUUACUGCAAGGUUCCUGGCUUCUUCAGUUAUGGGACAUGGAAGAGAAAAAGAAAACCAAGGAACACCACAUGUCAUUCUCUGGGCUCUAGACUGGGGAGCCUGCCUUCUUUUCUCCGCUUUUCAGAUACUUCUCGUGUUUGCUUUAUGAAUAAAUGUCCAAGGUUUUUAGUUGUACUUAAUGGGAGGAAUAGGAAAAAGUACAUCUACUCCAUCUUUCCAGAGGCAAAAUUUCUCUUUUAUAUUUAGAAUGACA